GGCGCUGUGGCUGAGUGGUUAAAGCGACAGACUAGAAUUCCAUCUGAAAGGAUUGGAGUACGGUAUCUGUUCCGGUCUCCGGGCACAGGUUCGAAUCCUGUCGGCGUCG